rnacentral:lncRNA from 1 species
GCGACCGAGCGAAGCACGCGCUUGGUCGCUGCGUAACGAUCCUUCUCGAGCUCUUGUCUGAUGAUUCACGUUUCUUCCGCAAAGGUUUUUUGUAAAGAAUCUAUUUUGAAAAAUGUAUUUGUCGAAGAAUUUUUCUACGUUUUUCUUAUACGGGGAUUUGGACGUUAAUUUCGUCGUAACCGUUUUUGACCCCAACACUGAUGAGACCCACUAGAAUCACACACUUCGUUUCUAUAAGUACACGUUUCUUUUAGCAAACCUUUUUUGGUUUGCUUUGCUUUUUUGGUUAAUGGACCCUUUGAAACUUGGAUGCUUCACCUACACUUGCCUUCCUCACCAU